UACGAAGGGGGCUAGCGUUGCUCGGAUUUACUGGGCGUAAAGGGCGCGUAGGCGGACAGUUAAGUUGGGGGUGAAAGCCCGGGGCUCAACCUCGGAAUUGCCUUCAAUACUGGCUGUCUUGAGUGUGAGAGAGGUGUGUGGAACUCCGAGUGUAGAGGUGAAAUGCGUAGAUAUCUGGAGGAACACCGGCGGCGAAAGCGGCUACCUGGACAGAGACUGACGCUGAGAUGCGAAAGCGUGGGGAG
rnacentral:rRNA from 1 species